GACGAACGCUGGCGGCGUGCUUAACACAUGCAAGUCGAACGGAAAGGCCCUGCUUUUGUGGGGUGCUCGAGUGGCGAACGGGUGAGUAACACGCGAGUAACCUGCCCUUGACUUUCGGAUAACUUCAGGAAACUGGGGCUAAUACCGGAUAGGAGCUCCUGCUGCAUGGGGGGGGUUGGAAAGUUUCGGCGGUUGGGGCUGGACUCGCGGCUUAUCAGCUUGUUGGUGGGGUAGUGGCUUACCAAGGGUUUGACGGGUAGCCGGCAUGAGAGGGUGACCGGGCACAUGGGGACUGAGAUACGGACCAGACUGCUACGGGAGGCAGCAGUGGAGAAUAUUGCACAGUGGGCGGAAGCCUGAUGCAGCAGCGCCGCGUGCGGGAUGACGGCCUUCGGGUUGUAAACCGCUUUCGCCGGUGACGAGGCGUGAGUGACGGUAAUGGGUAAAGAAGCACCGGCUAACUACGUG
rnacentral:rRNA from 1 species